GCAAGUUGAUUGGCUACGCACUUCUCGAAACUAGAACUUGGACCAAGUUCUGGCGCCGUGGACAUAAGCCUUUACGUUCCGAUAGCUAAAUUCAGCCUCUCGUUAAAACGGAUGCAUAUAGUUUCACGCAAUGAUAUCAAAACUAUACUGUGAGAUGCAAAUAUAGGACGUAAAAAUUAAGCGACAGUUAAAAUUACUUUUCCGAAAGAAUUAUUUCGCAAUAAAUGUGCUGUAAUGAUACGACAAUGCAGUGACGUGUGCAGUUAUUACACGGAUAUGUAUUUGAAUGGUGAUACACUUAGAAAUUGAACGAAAUUACAUAGGCAUCAGAUCGUACGGAUUAAGCAGCAGUCGCUAUUUAUCAGACUGUCGUGCAUCGGUGAGCAGAGGCGAUCAUGAUCGACAAGCUUUCUCCAAACCUAUUAUCGGCCCGUCGCCUCUGGCCACGUGUUGAUCCACGUGCAUGUACGGACGAUACGCGUGCACCGUAUUUCCAUAGAUCACGCCGUGCUGGCGGUUGUAGAAGGAUGGUAAAUAGGCGAGGGUGUCGCGUAACGAGAUCAUGGCACCGAGAAAAUAUCUCGUACGAGAGAGAGAACACGGACAUUAACAUCACUCACUGUUUCGUCCUCUUUGCAGUAUACGAACUUUUUAAUCAAUUAACAAGAAAUCUUUAGGAUCCACGACCGAAGGACGAGGAUCGAGAGACAUUCCUCGAGAACGGAGCGUAGAAAUCAUCGAUCCCAGACGGUGGAUAUCGGGGACGGAGACGGCGGAAGUGGAAGCGUCGGCUCUCGAAAUUGCACAUUCGAGCGGGACGACCGAGACGUUCGUGGUACCCUGCGCCGCGCUGGUAACUGGAUAACAGUGCUCAGACAGGAGAGGGUUAACAACCUAGCCGGGGACAAGGAGGAUGAGCGAGGAACGGCGGAGAAAAUAAGCGGACAUCGCGGGAGGAAGAUCGAGCAACAAGAUCUCACGAGGUAUCUCGAUAAAUCCCCUUCGCUGGACAAAUAACGACAAGGCUCAUUACUAUAAACACGUCUCGCGCGCGGUCUCUGCGUGUGGCGCGUCGGGUUGCCGCGCUCUCCACGGCCAUUUAUUUUUAUAUCCGCGUGUCUCCCUUGUUCGUUAUUAUAUUAUCCAGCGCGCCCGUCCCAAUCGCGCGUCGCGCGACCGACAUUUUUGCGUCCCGCACGAAUAUGAAGAAUGCAACGAGAACAACUGGAGACCCGUGCGCCUGCACGGCCGCGAAAAGACGUCGCGUUGGCAGAUGACAAAGUUUCUGCUGCAUAAAAUUUCUUUCGAAUGCCUUUUCGUCCGUCAGCUGCCCAGCUUUCCCGGCAUACAAUCUUUUGUGACAGUUAAUUGCAAGCACGAACUUGCAUUGUAUUGCAAUUAAAGCUGAGCCAAGCGUGAAAUAAUAAUUACAGUCUCUAUUUUGCAAAAAUGUUUGCAAUCUUCUACUCGGUAACGUCAGUAAAAAUAAUUAUCGCAGCCGCGAGAUAUAAUAUUUAUAUAUUAUAGCAAACAAUAAUCUGUAUCUUCUGUUGUCGAUAUGAUAAUUGUAAGUAGAAAGUGAUCUUCGCCGCCCUUUUCCCUGUACUUUGCGCCUUGUUAUGGUUAAACUAGAAGCGCGACGUCAUUAUCUGACCUUUAUUUAUUCGGUAGGUAAUGUAAACCGAAGCCCUGGCACCACCGACAUCGAUAUAACGUGUCUGCACGGCAGCCCAAUCGAUACGUCAAUUAAUUUUUGAAAGGAGGUUGCUCUCGACUAAUUUAAAUGGUCAGACGGGACAUGGGGAACUGAUGUGUGUACUACACACAGACACGGGCGUUCAAGCACCUGGCGGUUUCCUUUCCUUCCAACCCACAUUUUUACUAAAUAUUAUCGUGACUAUGUCGAUAUAUUUCGACGCUACGAGAUGUGCAGAUAAAUAAUUUUGGUUAUUCGCGUAUAGAAAAAAUGUUUGCAUGGAUAUAAUAGAUGUUGCUUAAAUAUAAAUUGCAAAAAUUCAAUAAAUUGCAUGAAAAAAAUAUACGAAUGUAGAAAUAGGACACACUGAAUAUAAAUAUGUAGACAUAUUAAUAUUUCGGUGAAAUGUUGCCACUUUGUACUUCGCUUUGCCAUUUUGUAUCUCAAGUGGCGUUGAUCGAAAGUUACAAUUGCCACAAGUCAAUACUAUGAACCGUUUUGAUUCUAAAAGGGUUAAGAGUUCAAAUUAUGGGCAAUGUUAUCAAAGAUUGACUUGUGGCACUGAUAACUUUCGAACAGUAUCACCUGAAAUACAAAAUGGCAAAGUUUCAGCCAAUUUCGCCGAAAUCCAUUUCCCAUAAAGUUAGUGUGGAGUCCCUUAGUUAAAAAAUAGAUAUAUAAAAUUUGUGUAUAUCAGUUCGAAUUUAUUUAAAAAUAAUCUUUCGAGGAAUAUUUAUAAAUUUAAAAAAACAUUUAUGAUGAAACGAAAAUGCAUUUAGUAUUUUUUAUACAAUAUAAAUUCAACUUAUAUUCACGUCGCGUUCAAUUUACAUUGACGCAACAUUUUUUACGACAAUCACAUCGCUUCGCAAUAUCUCUGCGAAAACUGUUAUCCCAAUAUUUCUGAGAAAAUUGCUUCGUAAUACCCUUGUAAAGCUCACUUCCUUUGCGAAUAUUAUUUGAUGGCAAUCGCAAUAUUAAAAGCGUAUAAAAAAAUCGCAUUAGUACUUAGAAGUUGCAACAUAUUUUGCAAAUAAAACAGAUAAAACGGAAAAUACAUUCUUGCAAAAGUAUUAAAAUUUGCGAAAUAAAAUUUGUGUUAUCUAUUCGAUAAAGAAAAGCCAAUCGCACGUACAUUAAGCAACCGGGAAUACGUGGAUGAUAAAUCGCAAAUUGAAAAUUGCAGUAACAGCAAAAUCGUUUUACACCGAAUAUUAUUGAUCAUCUUUGGAAAGAAAAUUAAGCGAAAAUUAAUGGCACUUAUGCAAAUCUAACGAAAUUUCUAUUUCUAUUCAGAAAUAAUUGUGAUGAAGAAGUUAUGAAAAGAAAAUUAUAGAAAAAUUAGAUCUUUAUACAUCAGUUUGUUCGAAAUAAUUUCAGUGAAACUUCGUAAUUUCCCUGAUUCUAAAAUACUCUAUAAAAUUCUUUUUUCUCCGAUACUGUUAUUAUAUGGAAAAUUAAAAACUGAACAA